GUGGUAAUGCCGGAUGCUCCAGUUGAUCGCAUGGUCUUCUGGGAAAGCUUUCGCGGUAUGGGAUGGGGUCGCGUCCUAUCAGCUUGACGGCGGGGUAACGGCCCACCGUGGCUUCGACGGGUAGCCGGCCUGAGAGGGCGACCGGCCACAUUGGGACUGAGAUACGGCCCAGACUCCUACGGGAGGCAGCAGUGGGGAAUAUUGCACAAUGGGCGCAAGCCUGAUGCAGCGACGCCGCGUGAGGGAUGGAGGCCUUCGGGUUGUAAACCUCUUUUAUCGGGGAGCAAGCGAGAGUGAGUUUACCCGUUGAAUAAGCACCGGCUAACUACGUGCCAGCAGCCGCGGUAAUACGUAGGGUGCAAGCGUUAUCCGGAAUUAUUGGGCGUAAAGGGCUCGUAGGCGGUUCGUCGCGUCCGGUGUGAAAGUCCAUCGCUUAACGGUGGAUCCGCGCCGGGUACGGGCGGGCUUGAGUGCGGUAGGGGAGACUGGAAUUCCCGGUGUAACGGUGGAAUGUGUAGAUAUCGGAA
rnacentral:rRNA from 1 species